rnacentral:rRNA from 1 species
UACGGGGGGAGCAAGCGUUGUUCGGAAUUACUGGGCGUAAAGGGCGCGUAGGCGGUCUGCUAAGUUGGAUGUGAAAACUCUGGGCUUAACCCAGAGCCUGCAUUCAAUACUGACAGGCUAGAGUUCUGGAGGGGAUAGCGGAAUUCCUGGUGUAGCGGUGAAAUGCGUAGAUAUCAGGAGGAACACCGGUGGCGAAGGCGGCUAUCUGGACAGAGUCUGACGCUGAGGCACGAAAGCGUGGGGAGCAAACAGG